rnacentral:rRNA from 1 species
UUAUACUAAAUUUAAAAAUUAAUUUUUUUAAAUAUUAAUUUUUAAAAUAAAUUAAUUAAUUAAAUUAAAUUUAUGUUGGUGAAAUAAAUAAUUUUAUAAAAAUUAAUUAUUAUUUAAUAAAAAUUGUAAAAGUUGAAAAUAAGACUAGGAUUAGAUACCCUAUUAUAUUAAUUUAAAAAAAAAUUUAAUUAUUAAAUGUAAAUCAUUAAAAUUAUAAAAUAUGGCAGUUAUAUAAAGUUUUAGGGGAACUUGUAUAUUAAUUUGAUAAUCCACGAUAUAAUAAACUAAUAAGAUAUUAAUAAUUAUUUUUGUAUUGUUGUUUAAAAAUUUUGUAUUAAUAUAAUUAUUAAAAUUUAUUUUAAGUAAUAAAAUAAUUCAAAUCAAAAUAAAGUAUUUAUUAGAUAAAUAUGAGUUACAUUAAUAAUAAAUUUAUUUAAGUUAAUAAAUUUUAAUAUUUUUAAUAAAUAGGAUUUAAAAGUAAAAUUAAUUAAAUAUAUUUAUUUGAAUAUUUUUUUAUAUAAUGUACAAAUUGCCCGUCAAUUUCAAUAAAAUUUGAAAUAAGUCGUAACAAAGUAAGAGUAUUGGAAAAUGUUCUUAGAGA